rnacentral:rRNA from 1 species
UACAGAGGUGUCAAGCGUUGCUCGGUAUCACUGGGCUUAAAGGGCGCGUAGGCUGUGCGGUACGGUUCGGGUGAAAUCCCUCGGCUCAACCGAGGAACUGCCCGGGCGACGGCCGCGCUGGACUGCAUUAGGGGACGAUGGAACUCCCGGUGGAGCGGUGGAAAUGCGUAGAUAUCGGGAGGAACGCCGGUGGCGAAAGCGAUCGUCUGGAGUGCAUGUGACGCUGAGGCGCGAAAGCUAGGGGAGCAAACGGG